UCAGGAUGCGAGGGCCGCAGUGCACGGGAAGUCGGUGUGAUUCCGACGUGGUCCUCGCCACUGUGACCAGGGAGCAAGUCCCCACCAUCGCCACUGGUGACCUCAGGUGAACAGCCGGGUCGCUGGGAAGGCGGGGAGGCGCGACGAUCUGGAAGCCAGGAGACCGGCUGCGGCGUGAUCUGUCCA
rnacentral:ncRNA from 2 species